GACGAAGGAUCCAAGCGUUAUCCGGAUUUAUUGGGUUUAAAGGGUGCGUAGGAGGGCAGGUAAGUCAGUGGUGAAAUCUUCGAGCUUAACUCGGAAACUGCCGUUGAUACUAUCUGUCUUGAAUACCGUGGAGGUGAGCGGAAUAUGUCAUGUAGCGGUGAAAUGCUUAGAUAUGACAUAGAACACCAAUUGCGAAGGCAGCUCGCUACACGAAUAUUGACUCUGAGGCACGAAAGCGUGGGGAUCAAACAGG
rnacentral:rRNA from 1 species